rnacentral:rRNA from 1 species
GACCGGAGUGGACGGACCACUGGUGUUCGGGUUGUGUCGCCAGACGCAUUGCCCGGUAGCUAUGUUCGGACGGGAUAACCGCUGAAAGCAUCUAAGCGGGAAGCCCCCUUCAAGAUGAGACUUCCCUGACUCCUUGAGAGUCCUGAAGAGCCGUUAAAGACUAUGACGUUGAUAGGUUGGGUGUGUAAGUGCUGUGAGGCAUUGAGCUAACCAAUACUAAUGACUCGUGCGGCUUGACCAU